rnacentral:rRNA from 1 species
UACGGGGGAUGCAAGCGUUAUCCGGAAUGAUUGGGCGUAAAGCGUCCGCAGGUGGCCGACCAAGUCUGCUGUUAAAUCCCAGGGCUCAACCCUGGAUCAGCAGUGGAAACUGGUUAGCUAGAGUGCGGUAGGGGCAGAGGGAAUUCCCAGUGUAGCGGUGAAAUGCGUAGAUAUUGGGAAGAACACCAGUGGCGAAGGCGCUCUGCUGGACCGCAACUGACACUCAUGGACGAAAGCUAGGGGAGCGAAAGGG